AUUGAACGCUGGCGGCAGGCCUAACACAUGCAAGUCGAGCGGAUGAAGGGAGCUUGCUCCUGGAUUCAGCGGCGGACGGGUGAGUAAUGCCUAGGAAUCUGCCUGGUAGUGGGGGAUAACGUCCGGAAACGGGCGCUAAUACCGCAUACGACCUGAGGGAGAAAGUGGGGGAUCUUCGGACCUCACGCUAUCAGAUGAGCCUAGGUCGGAUUAGCUAGUUGGUGGGGUAAAGGCCUACCAAGGCGACGAUCCGUAACUGGUCUGAGAGGAUGAUCAGUCACACUGGAGCUGAGACACGGUCCAGACUCCUACGGGAGGCAGCAGUGUGGAAUAUUGGGCAAUGGGCGAGAGCCUGGUCCAGCCAUGCGGCGUGUGUGAAGAAGGUCUUCGGAUUGUGAAGCACUCUAAGUGGGGAGGAAGGGCAGUAAGUUAUUACCUAGCUGUUUUGACGUUACCAACAGAAUAAGCACCGGCUAACUUCGUG
rnacentral:rRNA from 1 species